GUUUUAGUUGUUGCAGUUAAAAGCUCGUAGGGAUUUCGGAAAGUCCUUAGUAAUCCGACCCUUCCGGGGAGCGGGUUGCUGGCCUCCUAUGUUCCUAACGGUCCUCGUCCGCGAGGGCGGGGAAUCAACCGCUAGGAUCGUUUACUUUGAGGAAAUUAGAGUGUUCAAAGCAGGCGUAACUCGCCUCCGAAUACGUUAGCAUGGGAUAAUGGAAUACGACUUCGGUCUUGUUUCGUUGGUUUCGCUUGGCUGAAGUAAUGAUUGAUAGGGACAGUUGGGGGCAUUAGUAUUUAGUUGUCAGAGGUGAAAUUCUAGGAUUUACUAAAGACUGACCAAUGCGAAAGCAUUUGCCAAGGAUGUUUUCAUUAAUCAAGAACGAAAGUAGGGGGAUCGAAGACGAUCAGAUACCGUCGUAGUCUCUACCGUAAACUAUGCCGACCAGGGAUCCGGAGAGUUUGCAUGGAUGACUCCCCGGGCACCUUGUGAGAAAUCAUAAGUGUUUGGGUUUUGGGGGGAGUAUGGUCGCAAGGCUGAAACUUAAAGGAAUUGACGGAAGGGCCCCCCCCGAGUGGAACCUGCGGCUUUAAUUUGACUCACCGGGGAACUUACAAGUCAGGACCCUGGGAGGAUUGACGAUUGAGCUCUUUCUUGAUUCCGUGGGUGGGGGCUGGCCGUUCUAAUGGGGGAGGAUGCCGGGUAUCGUA
rnacentral:rRNA from 1 species